rnacentral:rRNA from 1 species
AAAUUGAAGAGUUUGAUCAUGGCUCAGAUUGAACGCUGGCGGCAGGCCUAACACAUGCAAGUCGAGCGGAAACGAGUUAUCAGAACCUUCGGGGAACGAUAACGGCGUCGAGCGGCGGACGGGUGAGUAAUGCCUAGGAAAUUGCCCUGAUGUGGGGGAUAACCAUUGGAAACGAUGGCUAAUACCGCAUGAUGCCUACGGGCCAAAGA